AGAGUUUGAUCCUGGCUCAGGAUGAACGCUAGCUACAGGCUUAACACAUGCAAGUCGAGGGGAAACGACAUCGAAAGCUUGCUUUUGAUGGGCGUCGACCGGCGCACGGGUGAGUAACGCGUAUCCAACCUGCCCAUCACUUGGGGAUAACCUUGCGAAAGUAAGACUAAUACCCAAUGACGUCUCUAGAAGACAUCUGAAAGGGAUUAAAGAUUUAUCGGUGAUGGAUGGGGAUGCGUCUGAUUAGCUUGUUGGCGGGGUACGCCACAAGGCGACGAUCAGUAGGGGUUCUGAGAGGAAGGUCCCCCANAUUGGAACUGAGACACGGUCCAAACUCCUACGGGAGGCA
rnacentral:rRNA from 1 species